rnacentral:rRNA from 1 species
ACAAGCGGUGGAGCACGUGGUUUAAUUCGAUGCAAACCGAAGAACCUUACCUGGGUUUGACAUGUACGUGUUACUGAUCUGAGAGGAGAGGGACCCAUGCUUCGGUAUGGGAGCGUACACAGGUGCUGCAUGGCUGUCGUCAGCUCGUGUCGUGAGAUGUUGGGUUAAGUCCCGCAACGAGCGCAACCCUUGCCUUUAGUUGCCAGCAGUUCGGCUGGGCACUCUAAAGGGACUGCCGGUGUUAAACCGGAGGAAGGUGGGGAUGACGUCAAGUCCUCAUGGCCUUUAUGACCAGGGCUACACACGUACUACAAUGGCCGAUACAAAGGGCAGCGACACUGCGAGGUGAAGCCAAUCCCGUAAAAUCGGUCUCAGUCCGGAUUGGAGUCUGCAACUCGACUCCAUGAAGUUGGAAUCGCUAGUAAUCGUGGAUCAGCAUGCCACGGUGAAUACGUUCCCGGGCCUU